ACCUGGGUGGCUCAGUCGGUUGAGCGCCUGACUUUGGCCCAGGUCAUGAUCUCACAGUUUGUGGGUUCGAGCCCCAUGUCGGGCU
rnacentral:tRNA from 1 species